UACGAAGGGGGCUAGCGUUGUUCGGAAUUAUUGGGCGUAAAGAGCGCGUAGGCGGCCGAGUAAGUCCGACGUGAAAUCUGGAGGCUCAACCUCCAGCGGUCGUUGGAAACUACUCGGCUAGAGUCCGGAAGAGGAGAGUGGAAUUCCUGGUGUAGCGGUGAAAUGCGCAGAUAUCAGGAAGAACACCGAUGGCGAAAGCAGCUCUCUGGGACGGUACUGACGCUGAGGCGCGAAAGCGUGGGGAGCGAACAGG
rnacentral:rRNA from 1 species